rnacentral:rRNA from 1 species
AACGAACGCUGGCGGCAGGCUUAACACAUGCAAGUCGAGCGCCCCGCAAGGGGAGCGGCAGACGGGUGAGUAACGCGUGGGAACCUACCCAAUGGUACGGAACAACUCAGGGAAACUUGAGCUAAUACCGUAUGUGUCCUUCGGGAGAAAGAUUUAUCGCCAUUGGAUGGGCCCGCGUCGGAUUAGCUAGUUGGUGGGGUAAUGGCCUACCAAGGCGACGAUCCGUAGCUGGUCUGAGAGGAUGAUCAGCCACACUGGGACUGAGACACGGCCCAGACUCCUACGGGAGGCAGCAGUGGGGAAUAUUGGACAAUGGGCGCAAGCCUGAUCCAGCCAUGCCGCGUGAGUGAUGAAGGCCUUAGGGUUGUAAAGCUCUUUCAGGUGGGAAGAUAAUGACUGUACCACCAGAAGAAGCCCCGGCUAACUCCGUGCCAGCAGCCGCCGUAAUAC